AUGCUUGUGAUGUUACUCUGAGUGUGUAUCCAGGCAUAUUUUCAAACCUGCCCGGUGUGGAUACACACUCAGAGUAACAUCACAAGC